UGGGGAAUUUUGGACAAUGGGGGCAACCCUGAUCCAGCAAUGCCGCGUGUGUGAAGAAGGCCUUCGGGUUGUAAAGCACUUUUGUCCGGGAAGAAAUCGCACCUGAUAAUACCGGGUGUGGAUGACGGUACCGGAAGAAUAAGGACAGGCUAACUACGUGCCAGCAGCCGCGGUAAUACGUAGGGUCCAAGCGUUAAUCGGAAUUACUGGGCGUAAAGCGUGCGCAGGCGGUUGUGCAAGACCGAUGUGAAAUCCCCGGGCUUAACCUGGGAAUUGCAUUGGUGACUGCACGGCUAGAGUGUGUCAGAGGGGGGUAGAAUUCCACGUGUAGCAGUGAAAUGCGUAGAGAUGUGGAGGAAUACCGAUGGCGAAGGCAGCCCCCUGGGAUACCACUGACGCUCAUGCACGAAAGCGUGGGGAGCAAACAGG
rnacentral:rRNA from 1 species